rnacentral:rRNA from 1 species
UGGUGGAGUGAUUUGUCUGGUUAAUUCCGUUAACGAACGAGACCUCAGCCUGCUUUGUAGUCGGCCGUAUCCCUUCGCGGGGUACGCGUUCCAACUUCUUAGAGGGACUAUCGAUGCGCAGUCGAUGGAAGUUUGAGGCAAUAACA